rnacentral:rRNA from 1 species
GGGUAGCAAUAUUCUUUAGUUGGAGUGGCGCAAGGGUGCGUAACACGUGGGUAAUUUGCCAUGAAGUUCGGGAUAACUCGCUGAAAGGCGAGCUAAUACCGGAUGUGGUUAUCGGGAGGCAUCUCCUGAUUACUAAAGUUGGGGACCGUAAGGCCUGACGCUUCAUGAUAAGCCCGCGGCCUAUCAGCUAGUUGGUGAGGUAAUGGCUCACCAAGACGAUGAUCGGUAGCUGGUCUGAGAGGAUGAUCAGUCACACGGGAACUGAGACACGGUCCCGACUCCUACGGGGGGCAGCAGUGAGGAAUAUUGCACAAUGGACGCAAGUCUGAUGCAGCAACGCCGCGUGGAGGAUGACGGUCUUCGGAUUGUAAACUCCUUUUCCCAGGGAAGAGAAUGGACGGUACCUGGGGAAUAAGUCACGGCUAACUACGUGCCAGCAGCCGCGGUAAUACGUAGGUGGCAAGCGUUAUCCGGAAUUACUGGGCGUAAAGCGCACGCAGGCGGUUUCUUAAGUUUGACGUGAAAACUCCUGGCUUAACUGGGAGAGGUCGUUGGAGACUGGGGAACUUGAGGCAAUGAGAGGGAUGUAGAAUUCACGGUGUAGUGGUGGAAUGCGUAGAUAUCGUGAGGAAUACCAGUGGCGAAAGCGGCAUCCUGGCAUUAGCCUGACGCUCAGGUGCGAAAGCGUGGGGAGCGAACGGGAUUAGAUACCCCGGUAGUCCACGCCGUAAACGAUGAACACUAGGUGUAGGUGGUGUGAAAGCUAUCUGUGCCGAAGCCAACGCGUUAAGUGUUCCGCCUGGGGAGUACGGCCGCAAGGCUAAAACUCAAAUGAAUUGACGGGGGCCCGCACAAGCGGUGGAGCAUGUGGUUUAAUUCGAAGCAACGCGAAGAACCUUACCU